rnacentral:rRNA from 1 species
GAACGCCCUUCGUCUCGCAAGAGAGGGAGGGAGUGGCGGACGGGUGAGUAACACAUGGGUGACCUAGCCCGCAGUGAGGGAUACCGGCGAGAAAUUGCCGACAAGCCCGCAUAGGGUCUUGCUGGUAGAGCAGCGAGAGCAAAGGUUUUGUCUCGAGAGAGAGAGAGCCGCUGAGGGAUGGGCCUGUGGCCGAUUAGCUAGUUGGUGAGGUAAGAGCUCACCAAGGCGUCGAUCGGUAGCUGGUCUGAGAGGACGAUCAGCCACACUGGGAUUGAGAACGGCCCAGACUCCUACGGGGGGCAGCAGUGAGGAAUUUUCCGCAAUGGACGCAAGUCUGACGGAGCAACGCCGCGUGCAGGAGGACGCUUUUCGGAGUGUAAACUGCUUUUCUGUGGGAAGAGCUACGGACGGUACCACAGGAAGAAGCCCCGGCUAACUACGUG